rnacentral:rRNA from 1 species
CGGACGGGUGAGUAACGCGUGAGUAACCUGCCUUUCANAGGGGGAUAACGUUCUGAAAAGAAACGCUAAUACCGCAUAACAUCAAUUUAUCGCAUGAUAGGUUGAUCAAAGGAGCAAUCCGCUGGAAGAUGGACUCGCGUCCGAUUAGCCAGUUGGCGGGGUAACGGCCCACCAAAGCGACGAUCGGUAGCCGGACUGAGAGGUUGAACGGCCACAUUGGGACUGAGACACGGCCCAGACUCCUACGGGAGGCAGCAUG